rnacentral:rRNA from 1 species
GAAUUCGCCCUUAGAGUUUGAUCCUGGCUCAGGACGAACGCUGGCGGCACGCUUAACACAUGCAAGUCGAACGGAGUUAUUUUGAGUUUACUUAGAAUAACUUAGUGGCGGACGGGUGAGUAACACGUGAGCAACCUACCUUAGAGAGAGGGAUAGCUUCUGGAAACGGAUGGUAAUACCUCAUGAUAUACAGAGACCGCAUGAUCUUUGUAUCAAAGAUUUAUCACUCUGAGAUGGGCUCGCGUCUGAUUAGCUAGAUGGUGAGGUAACGGCUCACCAUGGCGACGAUCAGUAGCCGGACUGAGAGGUUGAACGGCCACAUUGGGACUGAGACACGGCCCAGACUCCUACGGGAGGCAGCAGUGGGGAAUAUUGCACAAUGGGGGAAACCCUGAUGCAGCGAUGCCGCGUGGAGGAAGAAGGUUUUCGGAUUGUAAACUCCUGUCUUAAAGGACGAUAAUGACGGUACUUUAGGAGGAAGCUCCGGCUAACUACGUGCCAGCAGCCGCGGUAAUACGGGGGAUACGAGCGUUAUCCGGAUUUAUUGGGUUUAAAGGGUGCGCAGGCGGACCGUUAAGUCAGGGGUGAAAAGUUGGGGCUCAACUCCAAUCGUGCCUUUGAUACUGGCGGACUAGAGUGCAGGGGACGUGACUGGAAUGUGAUGUGUAGCGGUGAAAUGCUUAGAUAUGUCACGGAACGCCGAUCGUGAAGACAGGUCACGAAUCUGCAACUGACGCUCAUGCACGAAAGCGUGGGGAUCAAACAGGAUUAGAUACCCUGGUAGUCCACGCUGUAAACGAUGAUCACUCGUUGUUGGCCGGUGACGGUCAGUGGCUAAGCGAAAGCGAUAAGUGAUCCACCUGGGGAGUACGAUCGCAAGGUUGAAACUCAAAGGAAUUGACGGGGGCCCGCACAAGCGGAGGAGCAUGUGGUUUAAUUCGAUGAUACGCGAGGAACCUUACCCGGGCUUGAACGUAAGACGAAGAUACAGGAAACUGUAUCGCCUUCGGGCGUUUUGCGAGGUGCUGCAUGGUUGUCGUCAGCUCGUGCCGUGAGGUGUUAGGUUAAGUCCUGCAACGAGCGCAACCCUUACCUUCAGUUGCCAGCACGUAAUGGUGGGGACUCUGGAGGAACUGCCUACGCAAGUAGAGAGGAAGGUGGGGAUGACGUCAAAUCAGCACGGCCCUUAUGUUCGGGGCUACGCACGUGCUACAAUGGCGUGUACAGAGGGCAGCUACCCCGCGAGGGGAUGCCAAUCCUCAAAGCACGUCUCAGUUCGGAUUGGAGUCUGUAACUCGACUCUAUGAAGUUGGAUUCGCUAGUAAUCGCGCAUCAGCCAUGGCGCGGUGAAUACGUCCCCGGGCCUUGCACACACCGCCCGUCA